rnacentral:rRNA from 1 species
UGGGGAAUUUUGGACAAUGGGCGAAAGCCUGAUCCAGCAAUGCCGCGUGUGUGAAGAAGGCCUUCGGGUUGUAAAGCACUUUUGUCCGGAAAGAAAUCCUUGGCUCUAAUACAGUCGGGGGAUGACGGUACCGGAAGAAUAAGCACCGGCUAACUACGUGCCAGCAGCCGCGGUAAUACGUAGGGUGCAAGCGUUAAUCGGAAUUACUGGGCGUAAAGCGUGCGCAGGCGGUUUGCUAAGACCGAUGUGAAAUCCCCGGGCUCAACCUGGGAACUGCAUUGGUGACUGGCAGGCUAGAGUAUGGCAGAGGGGGGUAGAAUUCCACGUGUAGCAGUGAAAUGCGUAGAGAUGUGGAGGAAUACCGAUGGCGAAGGCAGCCCCCUGGGCAAUACUGACGCUCAUGCACGAAAGCGUGGGGAGCAAACAGGAUUAGAUACCCUGGUAGUCCACGCCCUAAACGAUGUCAACUAGUUGUUGGGGAUUCAUUUCCUUAGUAACGUAGCUAACGCGUGAAGUUGACCGCCUGGGGGAGUACGGUCGCAAGAUUAAAACUCAAAU